UACGUAGGGGGCAAGCGUUGUCCGGAUUUAUUGGGCGUAAAGAGCGUGUAGGCGGCCAUGUAGGUCCGUUGUGAAAACUCGAGGCUCAACCUCGAGACGCCGAUGGAAACCAUGUGGCUAGAGUCCGGAAGAGGAGAGUGGAAUUCCUGGUGUAGCGGUGAAAUGCGCAGAUAUCAGGAAGAACACCCGUGGCUAAGGCGGCUCUCUAGUACGUGACUGACGCUGAGACGCGAAAGCGUGGGGAGCGAACAGG
rnacentral:rRNA from 1 species